rnacentral:rRNA from 1 species
AGAGUUUGAUCAUGGCUCAGAUUGAACGCUGGCGGCAGGCUUAACACAUGCAAGUCGAGCGGAGAUGAGGUGCUUGCACCUUAUCUUAGCGGCGGACGGGUGAGUAAUGCUUAGGAAUCUGCCUAUUAGUGGGGGACAACAUUUCGAAAGGAAUGCUAAUACCGCAUACGCCCUACGGGGGAAAGCAGGGGAUCUUCGGACCUUGCGCUAAUAGAUGAGCCUAAGUCGGAUUAGCUAGUUGGUGGGGUAAAGGCCUACCAAGGCGACGAUCUGUAGCGGGUCUGAGAGGAUGAUCCGCCACACUGGGACUGAGACACGGCCCAGACUCCUACGGGAGGCAGCAGUGGGGAAUAUUGGACAAUGGGGGCAACCCUGAUCCAGCCAUGCCGCGUGUGUGAAGAAGGCCUUUUGGUUGUAAAGCACUUUAAGCGAGGAGGAGGAGCUCUAGAUUAAUACUCUAGAUGCUUGGACGUUACUCGCAGAAUAAGCACCGGCUAACUCUGUGCCAGCAGCCGCGGUAAUACAGAGGGUGCGAGCGUUAAUCGGAUUUACUGGGCGUAAAGCGUGCGUAGGCGGCUGAUUAAGUCGGAUGUGAAAUCCCUGAGCUUAACUUAGGAAUUGCAUUCGAUACUGGUCAGCUAGAGUAUGGGAGAGGAUGGUAGAAUUCCAGGUGUAGCGGUGAAAUGCGUAGAGAUCUGGAGGAAUACCGAUGGCGAAGGCAGCCAUCUGGCCUAAUACUGACGCUGAGGUACGAAAGCAUGGGGAGCAAACAGGAUUAGAUACCCUGGUAGUCCAUGCCGUAAACGAUGUCUACUAGCCGUUGGGGCCUUUGAGGCUUUAGUGGCGCAGCUAACGCGAUAAGUAGACCGCCUGGGGAGUACGGUCGCAAGACUAAAACUCAAAUGAAUUGACGGGGGCCCGCACAAGCGGUGGAGCAUGUGGUUUAAUUCGAUGCAACGCGAAGAACCUUACCUGGUCUUGACAUAGUAAGAACUUUCCAGAGAUGGAUUGGUGCCUUCGGGAACUUACAUACAGGUGCUGCAUGGCUGUCGUCAGCUCGUGUCGUGAGAUGUUGGGUUAAGUC